UACGUAGGGCGCAAGCGUUGUCCGGAAUUAUUGGGCGUAAAGAGCUCGUAGGCGGCUUGUCGCGUCGGAUGUGAAAGCCCGGGGCUUAACUCCGGGUCUGCAUUCGAUACGGGCAGGCUAGAGUUCGGUAGGGGAGAUCGGAAUUCCUGGUGUAGCGGUGAAAUGACGCAGAUAUCAGGAGGAACACCGGUGGCGAAGGCGGAUCUCUGGGCCGAUACUGACGCUGAGGAGCGAAAGCGUGGGGAGCGAACAGG
rnacentral:rRNA from 1 species